UGUAGAAACUUUAUUUGCGUCCUCAUCCUCACCUCCAUCAUACAAGGACAACAGACAAGUGACACAUCGUGGAAUUUUCUUUCACAAAAAUCCAUUUAAUCACUGGAUUUCUAUGAGCACCUAAUUCAAAAAUUAUAUAAAGGCUACCGACUACUGAGAACCCUUAUACUUUCAUCACAUGCGCAAGUUAAAUCCAGAAAAUAAAAAAUAGACAUUCAUGAAUCUUUCACGGAGAUGCAAUUUCCAAGGCGAAGAAGGCUUUCUAAACUAGCUGAAGCGCCGAAUCCUAGACUGCAUUUUGAUAGAACACGAACAGGAGGGAAUUUGCAUUCGACCAGCCGCUCUGCGAAUUUAAUUAUUUAACGUUACCAAGUUUAAAGCGCUCACAAAGUUUGGAGUAAAAAGACAAGAAAAAAUCUAAAGUGUAUUGGCACGUCUGAUUGAUAAUCUUGCAUCCGUGAGAUGCCGCCUUCCCAUUCCACGAUGAUGAACACGAAAUUCAUAGCUGUAUAAUUAAGAAAGAAAUGAAGUACGUCGACAUAAAAAACUGUUCCGCAUCAUCGUCCUGAUACCACAUGCAUUCAGAAAUCGAUCGCGAAAGGCGAGUCUGAGAAAAGCCACUAUCAUCACGAUAGUCGAGUUCGGCAAGUAACAUCUCCUCACGAAGGCGCAAAAAAAUAUCAGUUGAUUGCAAAACUUCUUUUUUCCCAGACGAGAUCUUUUUAUAGCUCUACUAUUGCAAUCAUUUCCGGUUUAAGUAAUGGUCGAAAUAUAAUGCAGUUUUCUAGAGAAUGGGAAAGUAUUGGCUAUGGAUUACGACGGUCGGAUCUAUGAAUAUUUUAAAGCAUAACAGUUUUAUUCUGAAAUUGUAAAAGUACGAAAUGCUA